GAAGGUGAACUCAAUCAGAUAUCCGAUCCUUGCCAAUAUGGCUCGAGAUGUGUUAGCUAUUCUCAUAUCUACUGUUGCUUCUGAGUCGGCAUUUAGCGUUGGAGGUCGUGUCUUAGAUUCAUUUCGUAGCUCAUUGGCCCCAACAACAGUUGAAUCUCUUAUUUGCACACAAAACUGGUUAAUGGCUCCCUCCAUUAAUUAUGACUCCCAAGAUGUAAUGGAAGAUGCUGAAAGCUACAAGUUAGAAACCGAGAUAACUUUGAAGAAUAUUUUAAAUGAGAUCGAUUGAAGAUUACUUGAAGUACUUUUGGACCAAAACUAGCUAAUCCAAGAAUUAGCUAGUUUUGAAGACAGGAGGAAGAUUCAUGAACACGCAUGGAUAGGAUUCAUGUGGACAUCAAUUUUUUGUGGGCAUGCAGAUUACUUGAAGUACUUUUUUGUGG